GCAACAGUUGAUUGUAAUCCUGUUUAAUGUGGACGAACUUUCCGUUAAGACGGACUGCUGAAGGCCGACCCUGGUGUGGGUUUGUGAGGACGGUCUGUUGGUUAUGCCUAAACCCUCUCGUGAAAAUCGAGUCAGCUUAUUUCAGAGUAAAAGUGAGAAAGCUCGAUCGGCACGCUGUGAAAAUGCAUCGACGUAGGCGACAGACGGCUGGCGAUGAGCCUCUUUGUGGCAGCGGGGAUGGUUUCCCUCUGCAUCAGCCUCGCUCGCCAAUCUGCAGCUUUUUUUCUGCCACUCCCUUCGACACACAGCCGCUCUCUGCUGCAGGCGGGAGAAGCUCAUUCAUCAAUAACCAGUGUGCUUCCUACACUAUCUGUCAACACGUCUGUGAUGUGAUGUGUGUGUGUGUGUUCCCCAUACUGCAGAGGGGAUCGCUGCCCCUUCCAAGUCUGUCGGUGAAACAAGAUGGCGUCGCAGCUCCACGUGGGUCCUCUCGUGCCGGCCAAUGCUCGCUACCCACGGCAUCUGAGAGCAGCAGAGGGCAUUUUUUUGUUUUUUUCUAACUGUUGCACACCUGGGGCCGAUUUUCUCGCCGUGUAGCUGGAAUUGCUGAGGCUCUCCUCGGCUCUGCAGCUUGGCCAAAGAUUUAGAAUUUGGGGCACGUCCAGAGCUUUCAUUGUUUCUCUCAUUUCUGUUCGCCCGGUCUGGGCACCGACUGCCAAACUGUACGCUGUUCUGUCUGCCAUCUGGGCGGCUUUGAAAUGCGCUGGUGGGAUGGACCGGUGCAUUUUCAGCAUCACUUGUCGUUUGUCUGGGUGUGUUGGUGCGCAAGCCUGUGUGAACGAGCAGAAAAUCCUGCAGGAUCUGCAGUGGAUGUGGAUCUGCAGGAUCCACAUGUGCGCGCCGACCUGGACGAGGCACCUUCGACUUUCUGUUCAAACUGAACAGGCGUCCUCUGACGUGUGUUCAUGAAGAACGUUCAGAGCUGCGAUCCUUCUUUGGCGCCGAUUACCUUAAAUGUGAAAUAGAGGGUGCGAUUUAAAGCUUAAAACUCUGUCCCAGUACUGGAGCUGUCUGAGAUGAAUAAACUUCCAUCUAAUUCCUGUCUCAGUGAACUGUCUUGGUAUUGUAGCUUCAUGCUGCUCUGUUCAUCUGUGGUGGCUGUGAUGCUUUUGUUUUAGCCUUCACAAUGUGCUUCUAGUGGAAACGGAGCGAAGAGCAGAAUUUGUAUCGUGUGUGAAGUUCCUGUUAGAUCAUUUAACAAAGCCGGCGCUCGUUAUAACCGACACGAUACUGAAAUAUGCUGCAUCUCAGAUUUAAGCCAAGCUACUGAACAGCACUGCAGCUUGACAUACUGUACAGAGCCUGUUACGACCUGCCCAGCAGUCUCGUGUGACUCAAUUCACCAUUUUUUCUCCAAACCCAGUUUUCCGACUGGUUAAUGUGCUCCAUUAAUCCACACACACGUGUGUUUUUGGAUAUUUCCAGAUGAUCCAGUUGUGCUAUUUUUAGACUAUUUGUCACAAGUUGUUUUAUAUUAUAUUCUGAUGUAAACUUCGAUUCACCCUCCUGUGUUAUCUCAGUUUGUGGAAUUAUUUGUUUAAUUCAAACCGACUGUGGUGAAUCUGGACGCCACGUUUGUUCAUAUAGAUACUUCAAUUUCUUCUGAAUAAAUAUAGAAGUUUUUUCUCUUCCUUCUGAUGUGUCCUGCGUGUCUAAAUAAAACCUCACUGCUGUCAUUUCACGUGACUGUCAAUUCUUUCAACUCUUACACUUAUUAAUAGAAGCUCUGUGUGAAGCGUGAGAUUCGGCCGUCUAACGUGUUUUUAUUUCAUCUUUGGGAGUAUUUUUAUACUCUAUUAUUAAAGCUCCUACUGUUGUUUUUGUUUCUGUGAGUUACGGAGACGUGUUACAGGAUCUCCUUAAAAACAAUAAAUUAAAAAAGACAGCUGACGAGGACGAUGUCAGUCUUCUUUCAGCUCUGUCCAUAUGUCUUUAAAUGAGACAUUUUUAUAUUGUUGUGAAACAUGAGUCUUUUUCUGACCGGACCUACAUUAAUGUUUGCAUGAUUUAUUAAAAGUGUGCAGAUAUCAAUAAGUGUUUCUUUGUUGCUUUUAGAGGAAAAUAAGCACAUUCUUGGUUUCAGUGUUGUGGUUGUGUUUUUCAGGCUGUGCUCAGGCUUCGUUGUGUAACAGCUUUUAAAUGACUUUGUCUCUGUCUCUCUCUUGCAGCCUUUUAGACCAGGUCAGGACAUGUCGGGGAACAGUUCAUGAACACGAGAUGCAUAUAACAACCAGCUGCCCACACGCUGUGUAGACAUCUUUCUUUUAUAGCUUAUAGUUUGACCAGGACAUGCGUGUGAUCUCUGACAGUAGGAGCUGCUUUUUAAUGCUUCACAUGUCUCUGUAAUGUAAACAUGUAAAUAAAGUCUUAAUGAAAUGUCCUUGUUUUCUGUUCUUUGACGAAAUGUACCAACAUUUUAACAUUUAUGGGAAAUGAAGAAUGCUAACACAGAUGUGCUAGUGUUAGCUAAUGUGUUUCUUAUUCAUAUAUGAAACUUAUUCACUGUGUUGGGCGAUUUCUAGUUUUCUGCUUCAAAGUAUAAUUGUUGACAUGCAAACACUAGCAUGCAGUGUUUUGUGAGCAGUGCAGUGUUUAAGAUAUCAGUGCUAAUGUACCCCAGUAUCUUUGGUCACAUGUCAACAUGGUUAACAGUCCAACACCACACGUGGUGAAUUUUUAUACACUUUGAAAAAAUGUCUAGUCCGGUUUAAGCACAAUGCAACACAGUACCUUUAAGUGGUACGGCUAAAACUGUGAUAUAUGCAGUGUACUAGUACCUCCAACCUAACAGUAACAAUAUUCUCAAAAAGUAUACUAUUAAAUUUGAUACAUAGGUCACAGGAGAAUCCUCACGUUUCACCGGUCCAUGCAGCACAGUUCAUUCUACCUCAUCCUGCCUCCUCAUCCUUACUGAUUCACCACAUUUCCAAGAAGUACUUUGAACACCCCGAGAGUUCUGUCUGGACUUGUUACUUCCACAUAGCUGUUGGUUUAAUAUUGGACGGUGAUAACGAGACGGAUUAUGGACACAUAAAGCUUCUUUUGCAGAAGGAUUAGUGAGUGCGAAGAUGGUAUGAGAGUACACGGGGCCUGUACCUUCUCCAGAGUUCAUCCUAUGGUUGGUGAAAUCAGAUCAUAGCUAUAGCUUCACACACAUACACAUACAGGGAAGAUGAUGCUGCAAAUAAUAGUGUAUUUUUUGGGAAAAUCAAACAAUAUCAAUUUAGAAUAAAGGAACAUUUUUUUGUGUUCAUUGAAAUAAUCUUUGAAUAAAGUGACGCACUAAU
ensembl:lncRNA